UUCGUAGGUGGUGCGGCAAGUUGGAAGUGAAAUCUCUGGGCUUAACCCAGAGGCUGCUUUCAAAACUGCCGCGCUCGAGUGCGAGAGAGGUCAGUGGAAUUGCAGGUGUAGCGGUGAAAUGCGUAGAUAUCUGCAGGAACACCCGUGGCGAAGGCGGCUGACUGGAUCGCAACUGACACUGAGGAACGAAAGCUAGGGGAGCAAACAGGAUUAGAUACCCUGGUAGUCCUAGCCCUAAACCAUCAGAACUUGGGGUGCCCGCGUAGGCGGGUCGUCCCGUAGCUAACGCGUUAAGUUCUGCGCCUGGGGAGUACGGUCGCAAGACUGAAA
rnacentral:rRNA from 1 species